rnacentral:tRNA from 1 species
GACCACGUAGCUCAGUUGGCGGAGCAUUGGACUAGUAUUCCAAAGGUCGCGGGUUCGAUUCCGGCCCACCGAGGACA